UGAUUGCUAAGUUGUCAAAAGAUUACACUGCAAAAAACACAAACUCUUACCAAGCCUAUUUGUUUAAUUUCUAGUAAAAUAUCUGAUCUACACUUAAUAUAAGACACAAUCACUUUAGUAAAAUUUCAGUAAGAUACAAGGACUUUUUUGUUUUUUGAGAAGU